CAGCAUUGGUCAACAGAAAGGGCCUAAUUCUCCACAUCAAUGCGCGACCACAUGUCAUAUAACCAAUGUUUCAAAAGUUGAAUGAAUUGGGCUAUGAAGUUUUGCCUCAUCCACCAGAAAGUUUUAUUUGACAGCAAUGUUCUAAGGAUUAAAUAAAAUCUGCAAAAAAAAAAAUAAUAAAUUCCCACCAUAUAUUAGGUAUUCACAUAUGAUAGUUAACUUUUUGUUAACUUUAACAGAAUUUUAAGACCAUGUGCCAAAAUCUG
rnacentral:lncRNA from 1 species